rnacentral:rRNA from 1 species
AAUCAACGCUGGCGGCGUGCCUAACACAUGCAAGUCGAACGCGAAAGUCCCGCAAGGGAUUAGUAGAGUGGCAAACGGGUGAGUAACGCGUGGGUGACCUGCCUUCGAGUGGGGGAUAACGUUCCGAAAGGGACGCUAAUACCGCAUAACAUGCCGUCUUUUAAGAGAUGGACAUCAAAGCCUGGGACCGCAAGGCCAGGCGCUUGAAGAGGGGCCCGCGUCCGAUUAGCUAGUUGGUGGGGUAAUGGCUCACCAAGGCAACGAUCGGUAGCCGGCCUGAGAGGGCGGACGGCCACACUGGGACUGAGACACGGCCCAGACUCCUACGGGAGGCAGCAGUGGGGAAUUGUUCGCAAUGGGCGCAAGCCUGACGACGCAACGCCGCGUGGAGGAUGAAGACCUUCGGGUCGUAAACUCCUUUCGAUCUAGAUGAAUGGCCUCCGGGUGAACAGUCCGGAGGAGUGACGGUACCGAGAGAAGAAGCCCCGG